rnacentral:rRNA from 1 species
GAUCUGGUUCAGGAUGAACGCUGGCGGCGUGCCUAACACAUGCAAGUCGAGCGAUUACUUAGGUAAAGAGCGGCGGACGGGUGAGUAACGCGUGGGUAACCUGCCUCAUACACAUGGAUAACAUACCGAAAGGUAUGCUAAUACAGGAUAAUAUAAGAGAUUCACAUGGAUUUUUUAUCAAAGCUCCGGCGGUAUGAGAUGGACCCGCGUCUGAUUAGCUAGUUGGUAAGGUAAUGGCUUACCAAGGCGACGAUCAGUAGCCGACCUGAGAGGGUGAUCGGCCACAUUGGAACUGAGACACGGUCCAAACUCCUACGGGAGGCAGCAGUGGGGAAUAUUGCACAAUGGGCGAAAGCCUGAUGCAAGCAACGCCGCGUGAGUGAUGAAGGCCUUCGGGUCGUAAAACUCUGUCCUCAAGGAAGAUAAUGACGGUACUUGAGGAGGAAGCCCCGGCUAACUACGUGCCAGCAGCAGC